rnacentral:rRNA from 1 species
UGAACGCUGGCGGUAGGCCUAACACAUGCAAGUCGAACGGCAGCACAGGAGAGCUUGCUCUCUUGGGUGGCGAGUGGCGGACGGGUGAGGAAUGCAUCGGAAUCUACUCUUUCGUGGGGGAUAACGUAGGGAAACUUACGCUAAUACCGCAUACGACCUACGGGUGAAAGCCGGGGACCUUCGGGCCUGGCGCGAAAGAAUGAGCCGAUGCCCGAUUAGCUAGUUGGCGGGGUAAGAGCCCACCAAGGCGACGAUCGGUAGCUGGUCUGAGAGGAUGAUCAGCCACACUGGAACUGAGACACGGUCCAGACUCCUACGGGAGGCAGCAGUGGGGAAUAUUGGACAAUGGGCGCAAGCCUGAUCCAGCCAUACCGCGUGGGUGAAGAAGGCCUUCCGGGUUGUAAAGCCCUUUUGUUGGGAAAGAAAAGCAGUCGGUUAAUACCCGAUUGUUCUGACGGUACCCAAAGAAUAAGCACCGGUAAUU